GGAGUUUGGGCCGUGUCUCAGUCCCAAUGUGGCCGUUCAUCCUCUCAGACCGGCUACUGAUCGUCGCCUUGGUAGGCCGUUGCCCCACCAACCAGCUAAUCAGACGCAGACCCAUCGCAAAGCGAUAGCUUACAAGUAGAGGCCAUCUUUAAUAUCAUCUCCAUGCGGAAACGAUACAACAUUCGGUAUUAGCAGUCCUUUCGGACUGUUGUCCCCAUCUUUGCGGCAGGUUGUCUACGCGUUACUCACCCGUUUGCCACUCGACUUUCAAAAGCAAGCUUUCAAUCGUCUCGUUCGACUUGCAUGUGUUAAGCACGCCGCCAGCGUUCGUCCUCGAGCCAGGAGUCAAACUACU
rnacentral:rRNA from 1 species